rfam:Danio rerio chromosome 15 genomic contig CTG10536, GRCz11 reference primary assembly.
GCCGGCAGCUAGCUCUCUGCAACUCUCCCACUGAAGCUAAGCAGGGCUGCGCCCGGUCAGUACCUGGAUGGGAGACCACAUGGGAAGCUAGGUUGCUGCCGGAA